rnacentral:piRNA from 1 species
UUCUGUCUGCCUCAUAUCACAGAGGUUGU